rnacentral:lncRNA from 1 species
GGAAUCCUGUGCCCUUUGCCCAUUCAGCAGGUGUGUGGGAGGUGACUCUCUCAGGAGGUUGAAUAGGGUUAGAAAGACGGCAUGACUAUAUCUCUAAUGUAGACCUAAAGUGCUUCCUAGAGCUAGGGACCAGGAUUCUAAAUGAGACCUGAGGGAAUGGAGCUGUUGUUGACAAGAGCUGUUAGACAAACAGGACAUGGAGGAGGGUAAGUUCAGAUACCAAGAAGGAAGCCUGUAUACAAAAGCAGAUGUGAUGGGAAGAACUGAGGCAGGUGACACUAACCAGGGACUUGCAAUCAGACAAAAGACCAUUCACCCUUCAAGACAUUGAAUCGUACACUACAUGGGGCUGUCCUUGAGGGGAGGAGUGGUUAGUUUGUUCAUCAUCCAGCAUCUAGCACAGUGCCUGGGACAUGUAGAAAACUCUGAGGCUUGACUUACACACCAGAGCUGCCCUGCCAGGUCAGGCUGAGGCCACUCUUCGUGGGACUUUCCCUGAGAUCACAGCCUUCCUGUGUUGACUUCCUCCUCUUCCCUCUCCUGCUUCACACACACCCCUACUGGUCCCCCUGGAAGCAUAUUUUAAAAUAAAUUACUUGUA